CGAGGUCCAAUUUGUCAGCCGUCAUCGGGUAAAAACGACAAAUCAAAGAAUUCAACUCUAUAUAUAGCUAAUAUAGGACAAUGGUGUAGAUUAAAAAUUACACCACUCCAGACCCUUUUGUUUUCCACAUGAUUAAUAUUGACAAUAAUUAACAAGUUCCGGGUCGAAUCCGAUACCGAUACCAAUAAUAUAUUCACCUGUUACCUAUUACCUUAUCUGUACGUUCCGCAUUUGACAGGCGCACCACCAAACGGUGU
rnacentral:lncRNA from 1 species